rnacentral:rRNA from 1 species
UACGUAGGGUGCAAGCGUUGUCCGGAAUUAUUGGGCGUAAAGAGCUCGUAGGCGGUCUGUCGCGUCUGCUGUGAAAAUCCAGGGCUCAACCCUGGACCUGCAGUGGGUACGGGCAGACUAGAGUGCGGUAGGGGAGAUCGGAAUUCCUGGUGUAGCGGUGGAAUGCGCAGAUAUCAGGAGGAACACCGGUGGCGAAGGCGGGUCUCUGGGCAGUAACUGACGCUGAGGAGCGAAAGCGUGGGGAGCGAACAGG